rnacentral:pre_miRNA from 1 species
CACCUUAAGCAGCUGAAGCUGCCAGCAUGAUCUGAUCUUUUACUCUCUUUUUUUAAUCUCUGAAUAAGUGGUUGGAAAUAUUGGGUUCCUAAGAUUCAGAUCGUGCUGCGCAGUUUCAUCUGCUAAUCGA